GCCCGACUAUAACACAACAAUAAAACUACACAUUGUUCGCCAAAUAACUACGAGUGCAAACUUAAAACUUAAAAGACUUGACGGUACCCCACACCAGCCUAGAGGAGCCUGUUCAAUAACCGAUACUCCACGAUUAACCCAACCCCCUCUUGCCCACCAGCCUAUAUACCGCCGUCGCCAGCCUACCUUAUGAAAGAAACAAAGUAGGCCAAAUAACCCCACGUUAACACGACAGGUCGAGGUGUAGCCCACGAGGGGGCUAGAAUGGGCUACAUUUUCUAACCCAGAAAAAACGAAUAAACUAUGAAACAAGAAACUGAAGGCGGAUUUAGCAGUACACUAAACAACAAUACUUAGUCGAAAUUAACGCAAUGGGGUGCGUACACACCGCCCGUCAUCCCUGUAAUAAAAACAGAACAUCCAUAAACACAAACAUAACACCAAACAGGGCAAGUCGUAACAUGGUAAGCGUACUGGAAAGUGCGCUUAGAAA
rnacentral:rRNA from 1 species